CAACUUUUCAGGGUGAGUUGCUUGGAGGACUUGGGAUGCCAGAAGAAACUAUGGAAAUUGUGCAGACCCAAAGGUCACUAGACAGUUAAAGACAAUGCUGAAUGUAAGGAGCUGAGUCAGAAAGAUUGCUGGCUGAAUGGGAUAAUGAGGUCAAAGGAAAGCCUCUGAGCCAUGCUGGAGCAGAUUGGUGAACAACAAACAAACUGAAGCCUUAAUAUUUUCUUUUGUUUUCUCCAUCCACCAUCUCUGGCCUGUGAGCAGCCUUCCACUAAGGAUUCCUAUCUUGUUUCCCCUCCCUUAUUGUUGUUAAGAGACAGAGGAAACCUGUUCUGAUCCCAACCAGUUGCCAGUUCUGUGUCAAAUUAAACAUACCCUUUCCAGA